rnacentral:snRNA from 1 species
AUGCUUCAGCAGCAUAUAUGCUAAAUUUGAAAUGAUACAGAAAAGAUUAGCAUGACCCCUUGUGCAAGGAUGACACAAAAAUAACUCAUUGAACAUCUUC